UUGGUUACCUAGCUGUAGUUCAUUCUUCUA
rnacentral:piRNA from 1 species